rfam:Schistosoma curassoni strain Dakar, Senegal genome assembly, scaffold: SCTD_scaffold0007373
AUCCAACUGACGAGUCCCAAGUAGGGCGAGACGCGUGUCCUGGAU